AGCCAACCAUGUGGCAAUUAUAGGUGAGCCAUCUACAGAGCUAAUGGAGACGAUGGCCGAUGAGGAGAAGGAGCGUGUUGCAGAGCAACGGAGAAGACUGGGCAAAGCUGGUCUGAAAAAGUUGCACACAAACCUGAUGGAGGCUACUACUGAAAAUGAGGUGGCACCACCAGAAGAAACAAUCAG